rnacentral:lncRNA from 1 species
AUUUUUGGCACAUUAUUUCAUAAAAAUACAAUAUUUUAUAACGAAGAGUAUUUGAACAGUUAUUGCAAGUUGUCAUGACAAUUGCAGAAAACAACAAAAGUAUACAUUAUGGACUAAAAUCUUAUAAAGAAAGUAAAAUUUACAUGGAGGAUCCAAUUAUUGCUAUUGAAAAGUUUUAGUAAUACUUGUAUAAGUUUAUUAACACGAUUUUAUUAUUUACUUUUUUCUCUGAUUUCUUGUUCAUUUUAAUCGCUUCAUACAAGUUGUAUGUUUACUCCAGCGAAAAACUCAAGUUAAGCAAAACAAACCAUUGAACAAUCUAACAUGACAUUAUUGUCUCAAGAAUAAACAAAAACAAAACUAUUCUAAGAUCGAAGCAGUGUCAAAUGAUGAAGACAAAUAUAUAUUUUAACAAUAACAAACCUUCAGAAGUCUGAAAAACAGAAUAAAAAAUGCAGAAGGUUUAAGUUUUGUUUUGUUCCUUGGAUCCCAAAAUUCCAAAAUACUAUAAAUCUAUGAAAUGAUGUCACCAAGGCUUUUGCAAGUCAUCAUUUUAGUAUUUCGGAUAUUAGUUGUUACAACCCUGAUCUAAUCAAAGAUAUUUGUAAAACUGCUAUUUUUUGUCAAAUAUGCCGACUGUGUUUUCGCAUUAACUAAAUAAAAACCACAACUGCACUAAAAAAAUGGAACUGCAACUAACAUAGCGUGAAGAGAUUGAAGAUUCCCCAUCCCCUGAAAUAAAAAAGCAAACAUAAUCCUUAACAUUUAAAAAAACACAACAUGUCAUUAACAAGUAAUGUAUCGGCAGCCCAUGUUUUAAAAAUAUUUCUUAAUUAAAAAAAAAAUGACUAAAAGAUAAUUUUAAAACAAAGAUGUAACAUAAAAAUAAAAUUUGAGAGAAUUCUGCCAAGAAAGUGGUGUUCCUCAUAAACUGGAAUGACUUCUCUGGUUUAGGACUUUUGCCUGAAAAAGAAAGAUGGAAACAAUUUGAAAGCUGUAAAUAAUUACAAAAUGUAUAUGAACUCACAAAUGACUAAUAAUUUAAAGAUUGAAAAGACAAAUCUCAAAAUAUUUGUAGUUGUUGUACAUGUUGUAGCUGAUAUAACUAUUCCCCUACUCAUCU